rnacentral:rRNA from 1 species
AGUGGCGGACGGGUGAGUAACGCGUGAGAAUCUGCCUUGGGGUCGGGGACAACCACUGGAAACGGUGGCUAAUACCGGAUAAGCGAUUGGUGAAAGAUUUAUUGCCCGAAGAGGAGCUCGCGUCUGAUUAGCUAGUUGGUGAGGUAAGAGCUCACCAAGGCAGCGAUCAGUAGCUGGUCUGAGAGGACGAUCAGCCACACUGGGACUGAGACACGGCCCAGACUCCUACGGGAGGCAGCAGUGGGGAAUUUUCCGCAAUGGGCGAAAGCCUGACGGAGCAAGACCGCGUGAGGGAGGAAGGCUCUUGGGUUGUAAACCUCUUUUCUCAGGGAAGAAGCUCUGACGGUACCUGAGGAAUCAGCCUCGGCUAACUCCGUGCCAGCAGCCGCGGUAAUACGGAGGAGGCAAGCGUUAUCCGGAAUUAUUGGGCGUAAAGCGUCCGCAGGUGGCGAUUCAAGUCUGCUGUCAAAGCACGGGGCUUAACUCCGUAAAGGCAGAGGAAACUGAAUAGCUAGAGUGCCGUAGGGGUAGAGGGAAUUCCCGGUGUAGCGGUGAAAUGCGUAGAGAUCGGGAAGAACAUCGGUGGCGAAAGCGCUCUACUGGACGGCAACUGACACUCAGGGACGAAAGCUAGGGGAGCGAAUGGGAUUAGAUACCCC